UUAGCUUCACAUGCAUAACAUCAGGUCAGCUUCUGCCAGUUAAAUGCAUACAAGGUCACCGUCAAAUAUUCUCUCCAAAUGAAUGGAUACUGUCGCUGUUAGUUGUAAUUUGAGAUGCACAAACAGGACCCCAGUCAUCUCUAUUUGAGCAGGUGUGCUGUGUGCUUUGGGAACAUCCCAUUGGGUUGAAGUUAAAGAAUGGGGCUGGUCAUCUCUAUUUGAGCAGGUGAUAUCUAUUUGAGCAGGUGUGCUAUGUGCUUUGGGAACAUCCCAUUGGGUUGAAGUUAAAGCAUGGGGCUGGUCAUCUCUAUUUGAGCAGGUGUGCUAUGUGCUUUGGGAACAUCCCAUUGGGUUGAAGUUAAAGCAUGGGGCUGACCUGUGGGAUUCCCAACCAAUCAUCAGCCAGCUGCAUGGCCUCAGUAGCAUUAUCCACAGGUUUCCCUGUACCCCAUGUCUCCCAGUCAGGACACAGGCCUGUAGUGAACACAAACGCCACAUCAAUCAACCAUAGCACCACAUACAUUAUCUUCUGAGAUAUAAAGUGAGCUUUGUACAACAGCUAUUUAUAGCUUAUUAUUAUUUAUAGAUUAUAUUAGAUCUGCUCUGAAAAUAACUUUUCCAUAAAACAGAAAGAACAAAGAGAGCACAGAUGACAUGUACAUGUUGACUUGAUGUGUUUGUGGAUCUACUCACCAGGGGCACAACUAUCAACCAGGGCACCCAGGGCUUUGCCGUCGCGCCAGUCCCGACUGAAGUUGCCCAGUGGCAGGUCUGGCACUUUGUUCUGGAUCCAUCCCAGCAGCCGCUGCUUCGGUGUCUUUUUCUCGGCCUCAUCGUCAGCCUCGUCCUCCCACACAGGCAUAGAAAUGGAGUAAUGCAGGAUGAGCGUCCACACCAUCCCAAGGAUAAGCUUAAGGUUUCCAUCUACAAUUGCCUUACUAUCUGCAGGAGAACAAGCAGAAAGGGGGCGGGGGGGGGUCAGUCUCCUCUAAGUGAAAACAAAAGGGGUUGAAGGACUAGAUCACUGAAGCAUACAUAUGUACAAGGGAGAUCUAGAACAAAGGCCCACUUGCCUGGCCUG
ensembl:lncRNA